ACGCUCGACACCUACGGAGGCAGCAGUUGGGAAUAUUGGACAAUGGAGGAAACUCUGAUCCAGUGACGCCGCGUGAAGGAAGAAGGUCUUCGGAUUGUAAACUUAUUUUGUCAGGGAAGAAAAUGACUGUACCUGAAGAAAAAGCACCGGCUAACUACGUGCCAGUAGCCGCGGUAAUCUGAGCGGGCGUGGCAAGGC
rnacentral:rRNA from 1 species